rnacentral:rRNA from 1 species
UACCGAGGUCCCAAGCGUUGUUCGGAUUCACUGGGCGUAAAGGGUGCGUAGGUGGCCAGGUAAGUUCGGUGUGAAAGCUCGGAGCUUAACUCCGAAAUGUCAUUGAAUACUAUCUGGCUUGAGGGUCGGAGGGGAGACUGGAAUUCUCGGUGUAGCAGUGAAAUGCGUAGAUAUCGAGAGGAACACCAGUGGCGAAGGCGAGUCUCUGGACGACUCCUGACACUGAGGCACGAAAGCUAGGGGAGCAAACAGG